rnacentral:lncRNA from 1 species
UCAGCAAAGCUUCGUCACCUGGCCGUAUGACACGUGCUGCUCGAGGCCUGUGACGUAACCUGGACAAUAAUUUCCACUGGCUCUUCAAGGAGAAGACUACCACAAAAGCGGUGAGCGCUCCCGCUAAAGGCCUGUUCUACAUCAAGUUUCUUCGGCUUAACAUAGCUGAUCACCUAGCUCGUCAUAUCGGCAAAGCUUCGUCACCUGGCCGUAUGACACGUGCUGCUGGAGGCCUGUGACGUAACGUGGACAAUAAUUUCCACUGGCUCUUCAAGGAGAAGACUACUACAAAAGCGGCGAGCGCUCCCGCUCAAGGCCUGUUCUACAUCAAGUUUCUUCGGCUUAACAUAGCUGAUCACCUAGCUCGUCAUAUCAGCAAAGCUUCGUCACCUGGCCGUAUGACACGUGCUGCUGG